rnacentral:rRNA from 1 species
GAUGAACGCUAGCGAUAGGCCUAACACAUGCAAGUCGAGGGGCAUCACAUGAAGUAGCAAUACGGAUGGUGGCGACCGGCGCACGGGUGAGUAACACGUAUGCAACCUGCCUUCAACAAGGGGAUAACCCGUUGAAAGACGGACUAAUACCCUAUAACACAGGGGUCCCGCAUGGGAAUAUUUGUUAAAGGACAACCGGUUGAAGAUGGGCAUGCGUUCCAUUAGCUAGUUGGCGGGGUAACGGCCCACCAAGGCAACGAUGGAUAGGGGAACUGAGAGGUUUAUCCCCCACACUGGUACUGAGACACGGACCAGACUCCUACGGGAGGCAGCAGUGAGGAAUAUUGGUCAAUGGACGCAAGUCUGAACCAGCCACGUCGCGUGAAGGAAGACGGCCCUACGGGUUGUAAACUUCUUUUAUACGGGAAUAAAGUGCCCUACGCGUGGGGUUUUGCAUGUACCGUAUGAAUAAGGAUCGGCUAACUCCGUG